rnacentral:tRNA from 1 species
AAUUAUUAAACUUUAAGAAGUAUAUGUCUUGAAAACAUAAAAUAGAAUAAAAAUUUUCUAAUAAUUU